GAAAGGCCAAUCAAACUCGGAGAUAGCUGGUUCUCCCCGAAAGCUAUUUAGGUAGCGCCUCGGACGAAUACUACUGGGGGUAGAGCACUGUUAAGGCUAGGGGGUCAUCCCGACUUACCAACCCUUUGCAAACUCCGAAUACCAGUAAGUACUAUCCGGGAGACACACGGCGGGUGCUAACGUCCGUCGUGAAGAGGGAAACAACCCAGACCGCCAGCUAAGGUCCCAAAGUUAUAGCUAAGUGGGAAACGAUGUGGGAAGGCUCAGACAGCCAGGAUGUUGGCUUAGAAGCAGCCAUCAUUUAAAGAAAGCGUAAUAGCUCACUGGUCGAGUCGGCCUGCGCGGAAGAUUUAACGGGGCUAAGCUAUACACCGAAGCUGCGGCAAUGAAGUUUACUUCAUUGGGUAGGGGAGCGUUCUGUAAGCCGUUGAAGGUGAAUCGUAAGGUUUGCUGGAGGUAUCAGAAGUGCGAAUGCUGACAUGAGUAACGAUAAAGGGAGUGAAAAACUCCCUCGCCGGAAGAUCAAGGGUUCCUGUCCAACGUUAAUCGGGGCAGGGUAAGUCGACCCCUAAGGCGAGGCCGAAAGGCGUAGUCGAUGGGAAACGGGUUAAUAUUCCCGUACUUCUUAUAAUUGCGAUGGAGGGACGGAGAAGGCUAGGUGAGCCUGGCGACGGUUGUCCAGGUCCAAGUAUGUAGGCUGAUGGUUUAGGCAAAUCCGGACCAUCUUAAGGCUGAGAUACGAUGUCGAGUCACUACGGUGACGAAGUCAUUGAUGCCAUGCUUCCGGGAAAAGCUUCUAAGCUUCAGAUUAUAAGAAAUCGUACCCCAAACCGACACAGGUGAUCAGGUAGAGAAUACCAAGGCGCUUGAGAGAACUCGGGUGAAGGAACUAGGCAAAAUGGUACCGUAACUUCGGGAGAAGGUACGCUCCUAGCGGUGAUGAGACUUGCUCUCUAAGCUGCCGGGAGUCGCAGAUACCAGGUGGCUGCAACUGUUUAUUAAAAACACAGCACUGUGCAAAAUCGAAAGAUGACGUAUACGGUGUGACGCCUGCCCGGUGCCGGAAGGUUAAUUGAUGGGGUUAGACUUCGGUCGAAGCUCUUGAUCGAAGCCCCGGUAAACGGCGGCCGUAACUAUAACGGUCCUAAGGUAGCGAAAUUCCUUGUCGGGUAAGUUCCGACCUGCACGAAUGGCGUAAUGAUGGCCACGCUGUCUCCACCCGAGACUCAGUGAAAUUGAAAUCGCAGUGAAGAUGCUGCGUCCCCGCGGCUAGACGGAAAGACCCCGUGAACCUUUACUAUAGCUUGGCACUGAACAUUGACCCUACAUGUGUAGGAUAGGUGGGAGACGUUGAAGCAACCGCGCCAGUGGUUGUGGAGUCAAUCUUGAAAUACCACCCUUGUAUGCUUGAUGUUCUAACGUUGG
rnacentral:rRNA from 1 species